CCAUACUCCAGGUCACCAUCACCCACACUCCAGGGUCACCAUCACCCACACUCCAGGUCACCAUCACCCACACUCCAGGUCACCAUCACCCACACUCCAGGUCACCAUCACCCACACUCCAGGUCACCAUCACCCACACUCCAGGUCACCAUCACCCACACUCCAGGUCACCAUCACCCACACUCCAAAGUCACCAUCACCCACACUCCAGGUCACCAUCACUCACACUCCAGGUCACCAUCACCCACACUCCAGGUCACCAUCACCCACACUCCAGGUCACCAUCACCCACACUCCAGGUCACCAUCACCCACACUCCAGGUCACCAUCACCCACACUCCAGGUCACCAUCACCCACACUCCAGGUCACCAUUACCCACACUCCAAAGUCACCAUCACCCACACUCCAGGGUCACCAUCACCCACACUCCAGGUCACCAUCAUCCACACUCCAGGGUCACCAUCACCCACACUCCAGGUCACCAUCACCCACACUCCAGUGGCAUUGUCACCCAUACUUCAGACAAGCUGCAUACUUAAGAACUCCAUGGUUUGAGGUGUUUGUGUGUGUGUGUGUGUGUGCGUGUGUGUGUG
ensembl:lncRNA